AUUGAACGCUGGCGGCAUGCUUUACACAUGCAAGUCGAACGGUAACAGGCCUUCGGGUGCUGACGUGUGGCGAACGGGUGAGUAAUGCAUCGGAACGUGCCCAGAGGUGGGGGAUAACGCAGCGAAAGCUGUGCUAAUACCGCAUGUGAUCUGAGGAUGAAAGCGGGGGACCAGGCAGCAAUGUUUGGCCUCGCGCCUUUGGAGCGGCCGAUGUCAGAUUAGGUAGUUGGUGGGGUAAAGGCCUACCAAGCCGACGAUCUGUAGCUGGUCUGAGAGGACGACCAGCCACACUGGGACUGAGACACGGCCCAGACUCCUACGGGAGGCAGCAGUGGGGAAUUUUGGACAAUGGGCGCAAGCCUGAUCCAGCAAUGCCGCGUGCGGGAAGAAGGCCUUCGGGUUGUAAACCGCUUUUGUACGGAACGAAAAGGCUCUGGCUAAUACCUGGGGCUGAUGACGGUACCGUAAGAAUAAGCACCGGCUAACUACGUG
rnacentral:rRNA from 1 species